GCCUUCGUGGCCUAACGGAUAAGGCGUCGGCCUCCUAAGCCGAAGAUUGCGGGUUCGAAUCCCGUCGGAGGUA
rnacentral:tRNA from 1 species